UACGUAGGGUGCGAGCGUUGUCCGGAAUUAUUGGGCGUAAAGAGCUCGUAGGCGGUGUGUCGCGUCGGCCGUGAAAACCUGGGGCUCAACUCUGGGCGUGCGGUCGAUACGGGCAUCACUUGAGUUCGGCAGGGGAGACUGGAAUUCCUGGUGUAGCGGUGAAAUGCGCAGAUAUCAGGAGGAACACCGGUGGCGAAGGCGGGUCUCUGGGCCGAUAACUG
rnacentral:rRNA from 1 species